rnacentral:misc_RNA from 1 species
ACCACUCCCAUACCAUAGGUUAGGCAGCAUGGACCUUCAGAUUUUUUCAAUCGCUUGUUUCCUUGUGAUCACUACGACGGGAGCAUUAGACGAUUGUAAGGAAACUCCCUGCCAAAACGCCGGAGAGUGUGUCCCCAGAUUCCGGUGUGCCUGUCUCAGUGGUUGGGGAGGGGAGUACUGUAACGGCAGGUCCUCAGACAAUACCCGUAAAAGGUUACGAGGGGACUUCUCAGUACGGCAAAGUGGAAUCUGGAGCCUCUUUCGAACUUCUGACAAACAAAAUUGCCAAUUUUGAAAUAAAGUACUGCCUACAGUUCGGAUACUUUAUGCAAGGACAAUAUACAGAGCUAAUAGUCAUCCAGGAAAACACAUCUGAUGGUUCUGAAACAUUUUUGUGGUCCUCCGAAAGUCCAGACGUGUUUGGGACUUACGGUUGGAAAGAAUUCAAGUUGUCUUUUUUUGGAAAGCCUCAAUCCAACCUGGUUAUCAAGGGAAAAUCAUCAGAUGACAGCGGCCUUAUAGCUAUUGAUCAAAUCAAAGUACACACCGGAAACUGUAUGUAGCUUCAUACUUCCGGAAGACCAUCUACAUGUAUAACUCAGAAUAAACUGAAACAACAACUGUAUAUAUGUAUUAUGACCAUGGAACAGUUGUAUAAUGAUUCAUAAUGUAUUACCAUAAAAGAUAAUUUCGUGC